GACCUCUGUGGAAGUGUGUUGGUUGUGGAGUCUUGCCUGUCUUCUCUAUGGUAUCCACGGGGUUGUCCCAUGAUCCUAGGAGAGGAAAAACAUAAGCCAGCCUGAAGAUACGUCAAGCACAGCCACAGGAAUAAACUGCAAAAUCCCUAAGAAUCCAAAAGGAUCUGCAGGAUUUCUCAAGCCUGCCUAGAUGUCGAUGAAAUUCCAAGACAAUGGAGGAGUGUCCCUUCAUGAUGUGGAGAACCUGCUUGGCUCGAAACUGAAUUUGAGGUGAAGUUGUGGGACCCCAUUCAACCCUCAGCAGAUACUAUCCUCACCUGUAUCUGACCUUAUUGUGUUCACACUGCAUGUCACAGGAUGAAAUCCCAAGAUGAUGGAGGAGUGCCCCUCAUGAUGUGAAGCACUUGAUCAACUGGUAACAUAAUGUGAGGGGAAGUUUCAGGACACCAUCCACCCCUCAUCAGAUUGUAUUUACACUCCUACCUCACCUUGCUGUAGCUUACACUGUAUGUCCCAGGGUGAAACCCCAAGACAAUGGAGGAGGGCCAAGUCAUGAUCUGAAGCACCAACUCAGCUGGGAACCAAAUUUGAGGUGAAGUUGUGGGACCCCAUCCACUCCUCACCGGAUUGUAUCCACAUCUUUAUCUGUCUUAUUGUUGCUCAAGCUCUAUGUCCCAAGAUGAAAUCCCAAGAUGAUGAAAGAGUGCCUUUUCACGACGUGACGCAACUGCUUGGCUGGAACUGAAUUCGUGAUAAAUUCAAGGGGCAAUGUGGACAGGAUUUCUACUGUCUCUUAGUGAAAUUGUGAGACCCAAUCCACUCUUCACCAGAUUGUAUCCUCACCCCUAACUGACCUUAUUGCAGCUCACAUUCUAUGUCCCAAGACCAAAUCCCAAGAUGAUGGAGGAGUGCACCCUCACGACCUGAAGUACCUGCUCUUCAGGGAGCUGAAUUUGAGGUGGAGUUGUGGGAACUCAUCCAUUCCUCAUCAGAUUGUAUGCUAACCCCUAUCUGACAUUAUUGCUGCUCACACUUUAUAUGCCAGAAUAAAAUUCCAAGACAGUGGAGAAAUGCCACCUCAUGAUGCGAAGCACCUGCUUGGCUGGGAACCGAUUUCGAGUUAAAUUCAAGGGAACCUGUGGACAGGACUGCCGGUAUCUCUCUCUGGGCUGGACUCAGGACAAAGAAAAACAGGGAGAUGUCCAUUUUUUGAUGUGGUGUUCUCCUCUUCUUUAUAGAAGAGUAAAUUUUUUUCUUUUUUUCUUUUUUUUGCAGUAGGAGUUGAUAUGGACUCCAACGAGUCUCUGCAAGCCUUCCAAUUCACUGCGUAUUCAUAAUCCACAGAAAAAUAAAAAAAACAGAGCCCCACAGCCCAAGCAGAGCCACACAGAUAGGUUACAAAAAAAUUGGUAGACACAUGAAAAAGAAGUGUUGAAGUGCGUUAGCCACAUUUCUUUAAGCCAGCUCCACUUACAGGCAUGCACACACACACAAACACAUAAUGCCACACACACACACACAUACAGACAUUUAACACUUACAACACUCCCCCAGAAACACACAGCCAGAUAGCUCUUGAGUCUGUGUGGUUUUGCAGAAAGCCCCACCUGUGAGAGAGUAAACUCGGGGAACACAGUGGGGAUGUACCUAGAAAUCACAGAGGGGCAACUUUCAAAAAGACUCACCCAUCAGGCAGGCCUGGGGAAUCCUGAAGGUCCCUUUGUAUCCUUAGGGAUUUCAUACCCCUCCACAAAAAGAAGGCUGUGCAGUUGAAAUGAAACAGUGGCUAGAUUACCAGUAAGAAGCCAGACAUGACGGCCUUCUUCUCAUGCUACAGGAAUCAUGCAGCCUUCCAAUAGAAUUGGGAGAACAGGAGUUUCCUUGUUGGAGGCUGUAAUGAAAAUUUAUGGUUUUAAAAGUAUCAAAGCUGUCCAGCCAUUAAAACGUGAUAGUGUUUAGAAGGAAACACUCAAGCAAUGAAUUCCCAUGAGUGCCAUUCUCCGUGUACUGGGAAACUUUUCAUGUGAAAGUAAUUGAGCCAGAAUCAGAAAACCCUGGGCUGACAUGGAACAUGGAAAUCACAAAAGGAAGAGUAAAGUUGUGGGACCCCAUCCACCCUUCAUCAGUUUGUAUCUUCACCACUAUCUGACCUUAUUGCUGCUGACACUCCUUGUCACAGGAUGAAAUCCCAAGAUGAUGCAGGUGUUCCUCCUAGAGAUGUUAAGUGCCUGCUUGGGUGGAAACCGAAUUGGAGUUAAAUUCAAGAAGCCCUGCAGACAGGACUACUAGUGUCUCUUUCUGGUUUGGCCACAGGACAAUGAAACCCUGGAAGACAUCUGUUAAUUGGUGUGCUCCUCUUCUUUUUAGAAGAGUGGCUUUUUUGCAGUGGGAGGUGAUUUGGAUGCCGGACAUUCUUGGCCCACCUCCCACUUCACUGCAGAUUCAACAUGCACAUAAAAAUAAGGAACACAAAGCCACACAGCCAAAGCAGAGCCACACAGAC
ensembl:lncRNA LINC00279 long intergenic non-protein coding RNA 279